CUUAUCAUGAUGUGCAGCUCU
rnacentral:piRNA from 1 species